GAUGAAGAACGUAGUGAAAUGCGAUACUUGGUGUGAAUUGCAGAAUCCCGUGAACCAUCGAGUCUUUGAACGCAAGUUGCGCCCGAAGCCAUUAGGCCGAGGGCACGCCUGCCUGGGCAUCACACGUCGUUGCCCCCCCAUCUACUCCUUCGGGAUUGCGGGGGGCGGAUGAUGGCCUCCCGUGCGCCUCGUCGCGCGGUUGGCAUAAAUGCCAAGUCCUCGGCGACGCACGCCACGACAAUCGGUGGUUGCGAAACCUCGGUUGCCCGUCGUGUGCGGUCGUCGCGCAUCGAGGGCUCGAAAAAAUUGCCGGGCUCCGGCUCGGCUUUCAACGCGACCCCAGGUCAGGCGGGGUUACCCGCUGAAUUUAAGCAUAUCAAUAAGCGGAGGA
rnacentral:misc_RNA from 1 species